UACGUAGGGUGCAAGCGUUAAUCGGAAUUACUGGGCGUAAAGCGUGCGCAGGCGGCUUUGCAAGACAGAUGUGAAAUCCCCGGGCUCAACCCGGGGACUGCGCUUGAUACUGUCGCGCUGUGAGUCCGGGAGAGGAUGGCGGAAUUCCCAGUGUAGAGGUGAAAUUCGUAGAUAUUGGGAAGAACACCGGUGGCGAAGGCGGCCAUCUGGACCGGCACUGACGCUGAGGCGCGAAAGCGUGGGGAGCAAACAGG
rnacentral:rRNA from 1 species